rnacentral:rRNA from 1 species
GGCCCUACGGGAGGCAGCAGUGGGGAAUAUUGGACAAUGGGGGAAACCCUGAUCCAGCGACGCCGCGUGAGUGAAGAAGUAUUUCGGUACGUAAAGCUCUAUCAGCAGGAAGGAAAAUGACGGUACCUGACUAAGAAGCCCCGGCUAACUACGUGCCAGCAGCCGCGGUAAUACGUAGGGGGCAAGCGUUAUCCGGAUUUACUGGGUGUAAAGGGUGCGUAGGCGGCUUUGCAAGUCAGAAGUGAAAUCCAUGGGCUUAACCCAUGAACUGCUUUUGACACUGCAGAGCUUGAGUGGAGUAGAGG